rnacentral:rRNA from 1 species
AGCAGUCGCCGCGGGAAUACGAAGGGUGCAAGCGUUAAUCGGAAUUACUGGGCGUAAAGCGUGCGUAGGCGGUGAGUUAAGUCUGCUGUGAAAUCCCCGGGCUCAACCUGGGAAUGGCAGUGGAUACUGGCUCGCUAGAGUGUGUCAGAGGAUGGUGGAAUUCCCGGUGUAGCGGUGAAAUGCGUAGAGAUCGGGAGGAACAUCAGUGGCGAAGGCGGCCAUCUGGGACAACACUGACGCUGAGGCACGAAAGCGUGGGGAGCAAACAGGAUUAGAUACCCCUGUAGUCCCUGUCUCUUAUAA